GACGAACGCUGGCGGCGUGCUUAACACAUGCAAGUCGAACGGUGAAGCGCCUUCCUUUUUGGUGGGUGUGGAUGAGUGGCGAACGGGUGAGUAACACGUGAGUAACCUGCCCCCUUCUUCUGGAUAACCGCAUGAAAGUGUGGCUAAUACGGGAUAUUCUGGGUCUGUCGCAUGAUGGGUCUGGGAAAGAUAUUGUUUCGGUGGGGGAUGGGCUCGCGGCCUAUCAGCUUGUUGGUGGGGUGAUGGCCUACCAAGGCGGUGACGGGUAGCCGGCCUGAGAGGGGGGGCGGGCAGAAUGGGGGAGAAACACCGGCCGGGCGCACGAGGGGGGGAGGGGGGGGGAAUUAUGGACAAUGGGCGGAAGGCUGGAGGCGGCGCGGCGGGGGGGGGGAGGGGGCCUUGGGGGUGGGGAACUUUUUCGGCAGGGGAAGAGGCCCCGCCUUUUGUGGGGGGGGGUGGAGGGUGGGUGAUAAAAAGGCCCGGCCAAAGUCGGUC
rnacentral:rRNA from 1 species